UAGGGAAUCUUCGGCAAUGGACGAAAGUCUGACCGAGCAACGCCGCGUGAGUGAAGAAGGUUUUCGGAUCGUAAAACUCUGUUGUUCGAGAAGAACAAGGACGUUAGUAACUGAACGUCCCCUGACGGUAUCUAACCAGAAAGCCACGGCUAACUACGUGCCAGCAGCCGCGGUAAUACGUAGGUGGCAAGCGUUGUCCGGAUUUAUUGGGCGUAAAGCGAGCGCAGGCGGUUUCUUAAGUCUGAUGUGAAAGCCCCCGGCUCAACCGGGGAGGGUCAUUGGAAACUGGGAGACUUGAGUGCAGAAGAGGAGAGUGGAAUUCCAUGUGUAGCGGUGAAAUGCGUAGAUAUAUGGAGGAACACCAGUGGCGAAGGCGGCUCUCUGGUCUGUAACUGACGCUAAGGCUCGAAAGCGUGGGGAGCAAACAGG
rnacentral:rRNA from 1 species